GACGAGGGAUCCUAGCGUUGUUCGGAAUUAUUGGACGUAAAGCGGGUGUAGGCGGACUUAUAAGUCAGGUGUGAAAUCCCAGGGCUCAACCCUGGAAGUGCACUUGAUACUGCAAGUCUUGAGUGUGGUAGAGGCUAUUAGAAUUCCUGGUGUAGUGGUGAAAUACGUAGAUAUCAGGAGGAAUACCGGAGGCGAAGGCGGAUAGCUGGGCCAACACUGACGCUGAGACCCGAAAGCGUGGGGAUCAAACAGG
rnacentral:rRNA from 1 species